rnacentral:rRNA from 1 species
UACAGAGGUCUCAAGCGUUGUUCGGAUUCAUUGGGCGUAAAGGGUGCGUAGGCGGCGCGGUAAGUCGGGUGUGAAACCUCGGAGCUUAACUCCGAAACUGCAUUCGAUACUGCCGUGCUUGAGGACUGGAGAGGAGACUGGAAUUUACGGUGUAGCGGUGAAAUGCGUAGAUAUCGUAAGGAAGACCAGUGGCGAAGGCGGGUCUCUGGACAGUUCCUGACGCUGAGGCACGAAGGUCAGGGGAGCAAACGGG